rnacentral:lncRNA from 1 species
GUGCACUUUAGGAAAGACAGCUCCAGCUGAAAUUCAGUGAACAGAAGAGUAGGGGACUAAUGCAAGAGAAAGGGGCAGUGACUUUCAUAAAAUCGACCAGCAACUCAGUGACACAGGCACCAUUGUUUCUUUCUUCCUAUGUAUUGAGAACCAGACUGGACGUAAUCCAAGCAGCUCCUUUUUAGCCUGAAGUAGUGAAAGAGACUGAGUGACUUCAGUCUUGCAUACGAGUAAAAUGGUGGAAGAUGUGCAAGCAGCUGUGGGAAGUGUUACUGACUGUGACCUUUUACAAGAACAGUGGCAAAAACAGAAGCAUGGAGAUCAGAGAUGGACUGACACGGCACGUGUUCAUAAUUCCCAGCACUUACACUUCUACAAUUCCUCGUGCACAAAUCCUCUUACUGCAGACCCACAUCAGAAUUGAGAUAAUCCUUGUGCAUGGCCUCAUUCAGUUACAGUCACAGACUAAGUCUUAAGCCCUGCUCUCAAGCCUUGGCUCAGGGCUGCAGGAGGUGGUGAUUGUUCCUGGUCUCUUACCAUGAGAAAAGUAAUCAGAAACUAACUUCAGUUUCCUUGUAUGCCAUUAUCAUGAAAUAAAAAAUCAGGCUGUCUGCA